AUAUGAGCGAAUCUAGUACAUGUUAGGAUUUGAUUACAUUUGUAGUUAAAUUCUAAUUGGAUUAAGAUUAAUAUUUAAAUUUAUUGAAGAUAAAUUAAGAUUUAAAUGUUAAUUAGAAUAUAAAUCUAAUUGGAUUAGGAUUUUGGUAGCUUUUAAUGUAAGCUAUAAACAUAGUAUAGGCGUUAUUAUUUUGGUGGUGAUUGUACGGAUUAGUCACACUCAUAUGGCAUGGCCAAGGUGGUUAUGAUUUUUGGAUGCACCUUAUGCAUGGGUGCAAUAGGACGUGAGCGGCUUUCGUAGCCGUGGGUCUUUGGUAUACUUUGUGCAUGGGUGUACAGGAUGAGAGAGAUGUCUUCUGAGAUUAUAGAAGACGAGAGAAGGGUAGGAGAGAUUCAAAAAGAGGGCUCGGGUUGUAGCUACUCUAUUGCAGAAAAGGAGUAGUGUAAAUUUUUUUUUUAAUGAAUAUUAUUUUAUCCGCAUAUUUUUUUGUUUAGUUAUUUUCUCUCUUUUAUGAUUAUAUUAGUUUCUGCUGAGAAGACGAGUUUAUGGUAAAAAUCCGAUUUGAUGCUUUUGUUGUGGAAUUCCAACAAUCAGUACCGGAUCAACAGUAGUCGGUAUCGGAGCAGAUUGCGGAUUCUCAAAAUUUGGUACCGGGGUGAGUGCCGGAUUCCCAACAAUUGGUGUCAGAGACAAAGGUUACUGAUCAUUGGGAGAGAUCGACGUCAAAAUAUUGGAUUACCGAUCUUUGUAGAAGAUCGACGUCAUUGUACGGUAUUACUGAUUUGAAGCGAUCGAUGUUAAAGGACAAUUUGAUCUCAUUAGGCAUGUUGGAUUCGAAGGGUUGCGAUUUUCGGCUUCAGGUGGAGUUAUGAGGGUCCGAAAGCGGGAUGGGGUCGUGUGCGAGGCGAACAAGUAUGGAAACUUGUACGUUUUGAACGGGAGCACAGUCAGAACGAAAGCAAAGGCGGUUUGGGUUUCAAAAGU
rnacentral:lncRNA from 1 species